rnacentral:rRNA from 1 species
CAUGCCUACGGGAGGCAGCAGUGGGGGAUAUUGCACAAUGGGGGGAACCCUGAUGCAGCGACGCCGCGUGGGUGAAGGAGUAUUUCGGAAUGUAAAGCCCUAUCAGCAGGGAAGAACAAUGACGGUACCUGACUAAGAAGCACCGGCUAAAUACGUGCCAGCAGCCGCGGUAAUACGUAUGGUGCAAGCGUUAUCCGGAUUUACUGGGUGUAAAGGGAGCGCAGGCGGCGCGUUAAGCCUGGUGUGACAGCGCGCGCCCCAACCGCGGGACUGCACU